rnacentral:rRNA from 1 species
UGGGGAAUAUUGCACAAUGGGCGAAAGCCUGAUGCAGCAACGCCGCGUGAGUGAUGAAGGUCUUCGGAUUGUAAAGCUCUGUCUUUUGGGACGAUAAUGACGGUACCAAAGGAGGAAGCCACGGCUAACUACGUGCCAGCAGCCGCGGUAAUACGUAGGUGGCGAGCGUUGUCCGGAUUUACUGGGCGUAAAGGGUGCGUAGGCGGAUGUUUAAGUGAGAUGUGAAAUACCCGGGCUUAACUUGGGUGCUGCAUUUCAAACUGGAUAUCUAGAGUGCAGGAGAGGAGAAUGGAAUUCCUAGUGUAGCGGUGAAAUGCGUAGAGAUUAGGAAGAACACCAGUGGCGAAGGCGAUUCUCUGGACUGUAACUGACGCUGAGGCACGAAAGCGUGGGUAGCAAACAGGAUUAGAUACCCUGGUAGUCCACGCCGUAAACGAUGAGUACUAGGUGUAGGAGGUAUCGACCCCUUCUGUGCCGCAGUAAACACAUUAAGUACCCCGCCUGGGAAGUACGAUCGCAAGAUUAAAACUCUAAAGUGAAUUGAC